CGCUCUUUGAGCGUGCUUGCUUCAGUGUGCCUAACCAACUUCAACCUCGAUGCAAGAGAAGUUCUUUUGCGAAGUCAGUCUCAACGUAGCAAUUGGUUUUCCAAGUUACUGCGAGCUUUUUUACCUUAUCUGCAUCUGAAGUCAAGCAAGACGAC
rnacentral:misc_RNA from 1 species